rnacentral:rRNA from 1 species
UGAAAUGUUAUGUGAUAAGAAUCAACAAAUAGAUCGAUGAAAUGUGAAGUACUUAAGAGGGAGACCAACCUGCCAUAAUCUUUAUUUCUCUUUUUCCAAUGGCAUAUAAUAGUUGUGGAAAUAAAGGUUCUCCUUUAACUCGUCGAAAAGAUACCUCUGUGUAGACUUAUAGAAAUCUUAAGUUAAUACUGCAUAAUAGAGGUGGUGAACCUCUUCAGUAGCUGUUGGUAGAAUCUUCUCGGGUUUGUAUGUCCAUAGGACAAAGGAUUAUUAGUUAGAUUUGUUAUUUGUAAAUGAAAGGUGAAAAGAAUUCCGAAAAGUAGGUGAAAUAGUGGUAAUUUAUUUGUUUGGAAGAAAUCUAAAAGUUUAUUAUAUAAGUGGUUGUAGAAGAAAGAAUUAUUGAGUUUCAACUAACAUGUUUAUUGUUAUUAAAGCCCGAAUGCUACCGAUCUAACUAUCAUUAAGGUUUUUCUGCUGGUUGAGUAUACUAAAGAUUAAAAUGUAAAGGGAUACACACCUGCCAUUCAAUUGAUGGUUGGUGGUUAAAUGUCAUACGAGGUGUGUUAAUAUCUGGAUGUGUUCAAAAGAUAUAAUGGUGUCUAAUAAAUGUAAUUUGCUGGCAUAAGAUUGUUGUAAAAUGAUUUGAAUUAAGAAGGAUUAACUAUAAAUAAGAUUCAAGUGCCAUUUUGGUAUUAUUAUUAGUCAUUUGCAAUUGAGUUAAGAUGGGUAUUCACUUAUUUUACAAAUGGGAGAAGCCCGAAUUAGUAGUUAAAGUUGAAAAAUAUCUAUGUGUCUUAAAUUAAAUUAUCUAAUAGAUGUGCUUUAAUAUAAGCUCAAAAGUUGGAUUAAUAGUAUCCAUCUUUUCAAAAGUGUGUAGUAUCUUAUGAGCUAAAUUGUCUAUGUAUGUGUUUGGCAAAUAAAGAUAUUGCUGAAGCUCUAAUAGUAAAGAUAGAAUAUUGUCCGUUGUUAAGGCGGUGUAAAAAUGGCAAUUUAAGUAAUUUUAAUUCGUGUUAACCUAAUAGUAUAUCCAAUAGUUUGUUAUCGCUGUCAAACAGAUUGCAUAAGAUUCAAUUCCUAAAGCAAGAUCCUUUUUGUUAUAGCUGAAGGUUUUUAUCUUUUUCAUAAAACCUAGUAUAAUCAUAGUAGUUGACCUUAGGUCAAUGUCACAAAAUAGUACUAGGGUUGUACACUCUGAUAAAGGUUGGUGGUUUAUUAAGAUCUUUGUUCAUAAUAAAGAAGGGUAAAGAAUUUGGCAAUUAAGUUGUAGAACUUAGGGAUAACAAUAAUAUUUAUCAACCGACUGUAUACCAAAUACACAAGGUUUAGUUAAAGAUGUUUAUAUUUUAGAACUGAUAUGUGACCACUAUUUAUAAGCUCAUUUCUGCUGUGACAAAGGUUGGCUGUAACUAUAACGGUCCCAAGGUAGCAAAUUUCCUUGUCGUCUAAAUAACGACCUGCAUGAAAGAUAGAACGAUUCGAUAGCUCUCUUGCAUAGAUGUGGUGGUAAAAUAUUAGGUAGUGUGAAGAUACUCUAACAACGUUAUAGGACAAAAAGACCCUGUGAACCUUUAUAGGGAUAAAAUUUAGUAGAGGUUCUAUAUUAAUAUAUCGCUUCGGCUGGGAUGGAAAAAGUUUGAGAUACCAUUCAUUGAGAAUAGAAUAAGAUAAAUCAGUUAGUUAAAUGCACAUUUAGUGCAAUACGCAAUACGCGUCAUUAUUUGUCAAAUGUUAGAUGGGCUAUUUAAUUGGGGCGAUAACCUUCUUUAAUCAAACAAAAGGUGAACAAAGCUAUUGAUACGGGCUUUGUUAAAGGACGAAUAAGUACAAAGAUAGAUCUGUGGCUUAAUGGUAUUCCUUUGUUUGAUCCAGUAUUUAAAUGGUAUCUUAGUGACCUUAAAAUUAAUUUAUCAAAUAAAAGCUACUCAAGGGAUAACAGGCUUAAUUAAAAUUAGAGCUCACAUUAAAUUUGCCAGUUUGGCACCUCGAUGUCGGCUUAUCUUUUCAAAAAUCUGUAUUAAGAUUAUUGGUGGGAGUGCUCAUCCCAUAAUAAGGUACCUGAGCUGGGUUCAAAACGAUGGAAAUCAGUUUGGUCUAUAUCUCUAACUUUAUAAGUAAAUCAUAGUCUUCUUUGCUCAGUACGCAAGGACCGUCAACAAAUUGCUAAAGGUGAAUUUUGCAAUAUAGUGGUAUCACUCCAAAGAUAAGUGAUUAUUAGACAAUUCUAAAUUUAAUUGUGGUACAUUCUUUAAGAUUUUGCUGUUCAAAGU